rnacentral:misc_RNA from 1 species
UAGGACUACACGGGUUUCUAAUCCCGUUCGCUCCCCUAGCUUUCGCGUCUGAGCGUCAGAAAUGGUCCAGGAGUCCGCUUUCGCCACUGGUGUUCUUCCGGAUAUCUACGCAUUUUACCACUACACCCGGAAUUCCAACUCCCUCUACCACUCUCAAGUCCGGCAGUAUUGAACGACCUCUCCCAGUUAAGCCAGGAGCUUUCACAUCCAACUAACCGAACCGCCUGCACGCGCUUUACGCCCAGUAAAUCCGAAUAACGCUAGUCUCCUACGUGUUACCGCGGCUGCUGACAC